rnacentral:snRNA from 1 species
AGAUUUGAGGGUGAUACGGCUGUAACAUAGGUCCCCCCAUUGAUCGCCAGGAUUGAUUUGGCUGAUCUGGCUGGAUAGAUAGGUGUCCCCUUUCUUCCUCGCUGCUCCAUUUGUGUCCCUCCUAAAGCUUCAGGCUCAGUUGAAGAGGAUGAGAGGACGACCCUCUCUGAUAGAGGAGGACCAUUCUUCUGUCAAAGGCAUACAGGUAUCUGGACUUCCCUGCUAGAACUUCCGAACAAGCUCAGAGAAGUUUCUUCUCGCGUCUGCACGGGUUCAGCACCACGGACAGCGCCCUCGUCGCGCUGUU